rnacentral:rRNA from 1 species
AGGGUUCGAUUCUGGCUCAGGAUGAACGCUAGCUACAGGCUUAACACAUGCAAGUCGAGGGGUAGCAGGGUAGCAAUACCGCUGACGACCGGCGCACGGGUGAGUAACACGUAUCCAACCUUCCCAUAACUCAGGGAUAGCCUUUCGAAAGAAAGAUUAAUACCUGAUAGUACUUUUUCAAGGCAUCUUGAGAAAGUUAAAGAUUUAUUGGUUAUGGAUGGGGAUGCGUUCCAUUAGAUAGUUGGUGAGGUAACGGCUCACCAAGUCUUCGAUGGAUAGGGGUUCUGAGAGGAAGGUCCCCCACAUUGGUACUGAGACACGGACCAAGCUCCUACGGGAGGCAGCAGUGAGGAAUAUUGGUCAAUGGGCGAGAGCCUGAACCAGCCAAGUAGCGUGAAGGAAUGAAGGUCCUAUGGAUUGUAAACUUCUUUUAUAGUAGAAUAAAGUGAUCCACGUGUGGAUUUUUGUAUGUAUACUAUGAAUAAGGAUCGGCUAACUCCGUGCCAGCCGCGGC